AAUUCCCCCAAAUCAAAACGUAAGAGCUUUUCUCACAGAACACACUCAAGAGCUUUUCUCACAAAGCUAAAGAAUUGAAGAUCGAACACAAAGUUGAAGAGCUGAAGAGAUGAAGAGUUGAAGAUCGAACACAGAUUUCACGAUUUCACAUUGAAGAGCUGAAGAGCUACUCAUUGAAGAACAGGAUUUCAUGAUUUCUUCUUGAAGAGCUGCAGGUUACGCCUCACAGAUGAACACACCUCACUAAAAUGGAACAAAAUGCUUCACUUGAGAAGAUGGUGUCUUAAAGCUUCAUCACAUUGAAUGGUUUAUUAGGUUAUUUAUGUAAAGAUUCAAAGGAAUUCAAGAUUAUCAAGGCCUCACUAAGUCCUUAUGUCAUGGAAAAAUUUAUUGUUCCUCAAUUACAGCAAAGCUAGUUAAUCUGAAGAUUGGAAGCCCAUGGGAAAUGAUGCAAGUUUUACCCAUCAACUAAAAGAUCAACAUAGCAGGGAUCGAUGUCACAUGCUUUGAUGCUAAUCAUUUCCCGGGUUCCCUAAUAAUCCUUUUUGAGCCACCCAAUGGUCAGGUUGUCCUGCACACGGGGGAUUUCCGAUUUUGUGAAGAAAUGACAAGGAAUGCAGUCUUGCAGACUUAUGGUAGUCUCAUCCUAGAUACUACAUACUAUGAUCCUCAGGUAUUUAUAUUGUUAAUUCAUUCUUGGCUGUGAAGUCAAAUAACCUACCAAAAAUUAUGUGCUUGGUGUGGAUUUUAGGUAGUAAACUCAAUAAAUGGUUAUAUAUUUUGAGUGUCAUACCCUGGCAAUAGAAGCAAUCACUUUGAAGAAAUUCUCUACUAUGAUUAUGUCACAUGUAUUAGGUUUGCUGGUAAAACGGGUUGAAUGCUUGUUGUAGUGUAUGCCUUUGCCU